UAAGCCAGUCUAGAGUUUUAGUGUCAGGUCUGUGACAUCGUGAUGUCUCAAGCUCCUUCCAUCUUUGCAUGUUCCAUCCUUUGGUGGUAUCAUAGUCCAAGAUGGCAGCUGGAGCUCCAGACAGCACAUCCAUGUUUGAGGAAGGAAGGAGUAUGGGAGAUAAGGCAAAAGGCACUUGUCAGCUCAAUUAGGAUCCUUACUUUAUUUCCUCUGAAACCUUCCCCUUCCUUCACCAUCAGGGUAUCAUCAGCCAUCCUGCUGUGAAAGGGAGUCUGGGAAAUGUUUAUUUGUCUCUUUGUUUUAAGCUGGAUGCCUCCCCACUUCCAACAAUACAAUGGUAUAAUGAAGAAGAAAGUGAGGAUGGAUAUGAAAUAGCAACCAGCAAUCUCCACAGAAGGCUGAGAGCUCUCCAGGCCCUCAAAGGAAAUGGUUCAAAUCCAGGAUGGACAGAAAACCUGGAAAGAAAUCCCACGUGUGCGAUACCCUGCCCAGCCUUCAGCGAUGACGCUGAUGGUGGCAAAGGGUCCUGGGGGUUUAAGAAUCGCAGAUGCUGACUUCAAUACCCUCUGCCAAGGCCUUCUCUCCCAGCCUUCCCCGCAACCAAGGCCAACCACCUUUCAGCCUUGGACUGCCUCCCAAAUGCCAUUCACGUGCUCUGAGCUCCUUUUAUCACCAAAGCACCAGGUUUGUCCUCAGAAUGCAAAGAACAUGGGAAGAGUGUGGUGGUGGUGGUGGUGGUGGUGUGUGUGUGUGUGUGUACGAUGGUGAGCUGGGAUUGUUAUAGUCACCUGUAAAUGACAGGUCAAGGAGAGCUGUAAACCUGGCUUUGACACCUGUGUGACCUCAGGCAAGUGAUGUAAACUUCCCUGGGCCUCAGUAUUUUCAUCUGUGAAGUGGGAAUAACUUGAUGGAUAGAUAGAUAAAUAGAUAGCAGAAAGACAGACAGACAGAUAAUAGAGAAAUAGAGAUAAUAGAAGUUUUUCAAGGCUCAAGUGAGAUCAAGGGUACUUACAAAUUGCUGAAGAUUGAGAAAAUCUACAAGGAAAUAUUUAACUCCUGCCUGGCUUCCUUUGGGUAUUUCCCCAGGGGUCAGCAUUUGGGCAGUCCUGCACACUGAGGGGUGAUAUAUCUGGCUGUUAAAUUUUGGAAGCCAAGAAAAGCAUAGCUAGUUUAGAUGGAGUUUCUCAAUUGUUCAAAAGUUUUUGGCACUUUCAACACUAACACACAAUGUUGGGCAUUGCCUGAAAUACUUUUUAAAUGGUCAUUUCAGCCUUUUUUUCAAAUCACACUGUUUUCAGUUAAAAAAAAUUACAUCUUUUGGGAUCCCUGGGCAGCUCAGUCAGUUAGGCGUCUUCCUUUGGCUCAGGGCAUGGUCCCGGGGUCCCAGGAUGGCACAGAGAAAGAGGCAGAGACACAGGCAGAGGGAGAAGCAGGCUCUCCACAGGGGGCCAGAUGUGGGACUUGAUCCCACGACCCCAGGAUCAUGCCUUGAGCCAAAGGCAGAUGCUUAACCACUGAGCCACCCAGGCGCCCCUAUAAAGAGUAAUUUAGAAGUUUUCCAAGGUAAGUGCCACUAACUAAAGAAAAGCAGGCUUUGUUGGACAAGUUCAAAAUGACAAGUUCAAAAAAAAACAAAAAAAAAAAAUGACAAGUUCUAGGUGUGUAGAUUAGGGAUUGAACAUAGUUAAAAGUGGGGUUGAUAUUCCACGUUAGAGCAUCAACAAUUGCUGAAAACUCUUUCAGGAUGUGAUGUGUGGAAUUCUUGCUUUUUACAUCAUGAAAAAUCAUCUGGUUCCUCAUCACACGUUUCAAGUCUGGUUUGCACAUGAUGGGAGAGAUGGUUUCAGAUCAGUGAUCUCUUCCUAAGAGUGUCUGCACACAUAACACAUGGUGUCUAUACAUAGCUUCCAUUUCCAAUAAAAGCACAGCCAAAUUGGAAAGAAUCA
ensembl:lncRNA